AAUUUUUUAGUUCCAUGUUCCAGCUGUUUUGGGAGAUGCCUUAGGAAACUGAAUUGAUUGGUCAUUGAAGGCAUCUUAGAUGCUGCAGGUCCAUAUGCCAGUUGCUGAAGAAGUUUAUAAUGUCAUGUCCUCAAUAAAAUAUUAAUAAUGUUUCUCAGUUUCUGCUACAACAAUAGAUGCUAUUGAUAUGCGGCCUUUUCAUGUUGCAUCAUUUUCAAUUCCGUAUCAUAAAAUAUUUUCCACUUGAAUAUUUUUUAUUAUUUCUUCUUCUUCUUGCAUGUUUACAAAAAAUCCCUUUG
rnacentral:misc_RNA from 1 species